CCUACGGGAGGCAGCAGUGGGGAAUCUUGCGCAAUGGUCGAAAGACUGACGCAGCGACGCCGCGUGUGGGAGGACGCCUUUCGGGGUGUAAACCACUGUUGCCCGGGACGAACAGGCUCAUUCGUGAGCCCUGACGGUACCGGGUGAGGAAGCACCGGCUAACUCCGUGCCAGCAGCCGCGGUAAUACGGAGGGUGCGAGCGUUGUCCGGAAUCAUUGGGCGCAAAGGGCGCGUAGGUGGCCCGGUCAGUUCGUGGUGAAAGCGCGGGGCUCAACCCUGCGUCGGCCAUGAAUACUGCCGCGGCUGGAGCACUGUAGAGGCAGGCGGAAUUCCGGGUGUAGCGGUGGAAUGCGUAGAGAUCCGGAAGAACACCGGUGGCGAAGGCGGCCUGCUGGGCAGUUGCUGACACUGAGGCGCGACAGCGUGGGGAGCAAACAGGAUUAGAUACCCUGGUAGUCCACGCCGUAAACGAUGGGCACUAGGCGCUUGGGGGAGCGACCCCCCGAGGGCCGGCGCUAACGCAUUAAGUGCCCCGCCUGGGGAGUACGGCCGCAAGGCUGAAACUCAAAGGAAUUGACGG
rnacentral:rRNA from 1 species